ACUUUUAUAGGAGAACAGUAAUCCAUUGGUUUUAGGAACCAAAAACCUUGGUGCAAUUCCAAGUAAAAGUA
rnacentral:tRNA from 1 species